rnacentral:lncRNA from 1 species
AAAUUAGGUCCAGAUUAUGGUGUUCUGUGAAUGCCAGCCUUUAUAUUCAAAUUAUAUACUGAAUGCAGUUAGUCUGGUUUAAGGAAUGAGUGUAAGGCAUGAUGGUUUCAUCUAGCAAUAUAGAUUAAAUGGGAGUGGGUGCAUUUCACUCACUGAAGACCUUACUGCACAACUGAGGUAAACUACUGAAGGGGAGGUGGCUAGAAGGUUUCCUGGGAGACAGAAGAGUCUUGACCUGGAUUCUGAAAGAUGAGGAGUUGAUACGUGGCCAAGAAAGCUGUGUGACUGGAGGAUGGAUGGCAGAUAAGCAGAAGAUUGCACACGAUUUGGUAUGACUGCACCAGUGCCUUCUACGCCGUGGGAAAGACUGUCUUCCUGUCAGACCCCGUUCUCCCCAUUUCUUGGUAGAAACAUGGUGUAGAGUGCAUCUCUUG